GUGGGGUGGGGAGGGAGCCACAAGUACUAAUUCAUAACAGGUAGUUAGAGAAGAAAGGACUUCUGAGAAGAUGACAUUUGAACAGAGAACUGGUGAGUCAUCUGUGGUAACUGUAUUCCAGGCUGAAGAACAUCAAAGGCAAAGAAUCCGAGGGGCAGCAUGAUUGGCAUGUUCAAGAGCAGCAAGAAGACUGUUGUGGCUACAUCAAAGAGCCAGGGAGGCGCUGUAGGUGAUAACAUGGGUAUGCAGGGGAAUCAUGUUGGUCUUUAUAGACCACUGUAUGAAUUUGGCUCUCUCUCUCUCUCUCUCUCUCUCUCUCUCUCUCUCUCUCUCUCUUUUUUUCCUGAGUAAGAGGAAUUCAUUGGAGAGUCUGAGCAGAGGAGUGACAUGGUCAGGCUCACGUUUUGCCUCGUACAUGGUGGGAGGGAGAGUGUGGAGAAGAUUAUUUUGGGAAUACAAAUGGGAUAUCAUGGAGGUGUGGACCAGGAGUGGCAGUGAUAAGAACUGUCAGAUUCUGGACAUAUUCUGAGAUGAAGUUGACAUGAUUUGUGGCUGAACUGAAUGUGUAGUGUGAAAGAAAGACAGGAGUUAAAGGGGACUUCAAGGUAUUUGCCACUUGGUGCUCAGAGAAUGGACACUUACUUGGACAGUACUUCUAGAGGAAUGUGGUUUGGGAUUAUGGCAAGAAUGAGGGCAUGAGGAGGCAGGAUAUGCACAGAAGGGGGAUUUGAGUGGCUUGUUUUUCAGUGCAUAAUUAUAAACUGUUUUGGUUUGACCUACCUACUUGGUGCCUUGGGUCUGUAAUGGCAUUUGAGAAGCCUCAAAGCAAACCAAAGCAUUUCCCCUGGAAUCCUGAAGGCAGCUCUGCUUCCUCCUCCUCCAGGAUGAGAAGGAUAGAGAAGAAUAAACAUUUAAACAGCUGGCAGGCGGGCCAAGAAGUGGGAGCUCCUUUCUCUGGAAGAGUGAGGGGCAACUUCAAAUUGGCAAAAUUAUGAAGGUUGGGGAAAAAGAAUCCACAUAUUUGUUCACCAUCUUCUCAACAUCAGAAUUAAUGUGGCUGAGCUUAAAGGACAGGUGUUUAGAUAGUGAGAAGGGAUUUCUAUUUUGCACAGAAGAUAAUAAAUUUAUAGAACUAUGCACCCAAGGAUAAUAUAAAUUGAAUAUAUAAAUAUAUUUGAAAAAAGAUUUAGAAAAUUCAAGCUGAUGUAUGUAUAACAAAUUAUUAUAUAACUAGAAAUUCAGUUAUAUUUGCUCAAAAUUUACUGUGUCUACUUUGUGUAUAUUAUGAUACUAACAGUUAUAGGGGAUAUAGUAAGAAUAAAUACAGUUCCUGUGCUUGGGAGUUUAUAAUCAAUAGGAAUGACAACAUAUAUAUAAGUACAUGUAUCCAAACUUCUUUAUAGGCACUAUGUAGAUUGAUCAUUAAUGGACUCUCCCGGUUACCACAGCCUUAGCCCUGAACCUUUUCACAUCCAUCCAACUCCGACAAUUGGAUCAUCCACCUGACUUGCUUUGGCCCAUGGAAUGUUAGCAAAUGAGACACAGGUAGGGGCUUGAAAAGCACCUGCGUUUCCUCUUGCCCUCUUGCAUGAUUCAGCAUGUUCUCUUUUUUAUCUCUUCCUUAUCAUGAGAACAUGCCCAGGCUAACUUGGGGCAGAUGUGUGAGAGAUAUGUGGGGAAGAUCCAAAGUAACAGCCAGCUGACACCCAAAUAUGUGAAUCGCUCAGCCAAGAUCAGCAGAAGUGCCUGCCCAAUGCACACUGGAGCUGCAGAUGCAUUGAAUGGCUCUGGUUUCAACCAGAAGAGCUACCCAGCUGACCCCCAAACUUAUAAGGGAGAGUAAAUGACCACUGUUUUAAGCCACAGUUUCAGGAUGAUUUUUUAAUGAAGCAUCAUGGUGGCAACAGGUGACUGAUAGAAGCGCUCAAGUAUCUUUGCAAUGUGGCUCCUCCUUGCCUUCCAGCUUCUUGUCUCACCAUCCCAAUGCACUUUGUACUUCAGGCAACUGGUUCACCUGAAUUCUUGAACUGGGACGUGGUCUCCCAUGCCUUUCUAUGUGCUAUUCUCUACUUCUGAAGUGCUCUUCCUGCUGUCUCUGCCUGGACAACUGCCUUUCCUUUCAAGCCCAACUCCUCUGGAAAGUUAAGCCCCAGGCUGGUUCCGUGCUGUUUCCCUGUGCCUCUGUGAACAUCUCUAGCACAGAAUUCACACACAUUAUUUGAGUUAAGUAUGCUAAGUGUUCUCUGUUUCCCAUAUGCAGAAGCUUCUGGAAGGCAGGGACUGAGAGUUCUCUAUAUCCUGAAUACAUUGUUUGACACAAAAGAGAAUCUUCACCCACACUUGUGAACUUAUUAAGGACACUUCUUAACCUUAAUGUCACAGAGUCCUAAGUUUCAUUGAGAAAGGAAAAAUGACUGCCAGACCAGGGGAGGCUUCACAGAAGAGGCAGAAUUUGAAAUGCUCUUUAGUUUUAAUGGGUGAAGAGUAUUUGAGAUAUGGAAAAGAGCAUUUCAGCCAGAAAUAACAGCAGUAGACACUGGCAAAGUGGUACUCUAGUGGUUCAAGUGUCCAGUAUUAUUGCUGUGGAGAAUUCAUGAGCAGGUACUGUAAGAAAGAGAGCUGUUUUGUGGGACCUUUGAUAGCACAUUAAAGUAUUUGGGUUUACUUUGCAGGGGAAUGAAACCAUAAAGAACUAUAUUUUUAAGGGUUACUUUGGAAGCAGCGUAGAGGGUAUACUGCGGGUAGGAAAGGAAGAGGUUGUAUAUCUAGAAUCACCCCUUGGCUUUGGAGCAAUUCAGACAGAAGGUAAUGGUGGUAGUGGGAAUGUGUAGGGAUAUAGAAGACAUAGUAACAAAACUUGGGAGUUGAAGAAGGGAAGAUAAUUGAAGAUGGCUCUUACAUUUUUCUCCUAGUGCCUAGGAAAGGAACAGGCUAGACGGUGAAGUUGAGUUUGGACAUACUGGCUUCAAGACAUAUAUAGGUGGAGAUCUCUAAUAGGCAUGUGAAAUGUGGACCUGGAGCUCAGGUUGGAACCAGCAUAUUUGGGAAUCUUUUGUUUAUAAAGAAUCUUCAAAGAAAUGAGAACCAGGGAUAUGAGAAGUGCAGGGGAAGAGCCAGACAUAAUGCCUUUACUCCUAGGACAAGAAGAGAAAGAGGAAUCUGCAAAGCUGUUUAAGUCAGCUUUUUCGUGGCUAUGACUAGAGGACCCGACCAGCACAAUUAUAGAGGAGGAAAAGUUUAUUCAAAGGCUCAUGGUUUGAGAGGUCUUAGUCCAUAGAAGGUUGGCUCCAUUCCUCGGGGACUUGAGGUGAGGCUGAACAUCAUGGUAGGAGAGAGGGGCGGAGGAAAGCAGCUCACAUGGUGACCAGGAGGCAGGGAGAGACUCCACUGUCCAGAUAUAAAUAUAUACACAAAGCCACGCCCUAAUCCCCACCUCCUCUGGCCACACCCUGCCACUUCAGUUACCACUCAGUUAAUCCCUAUCAGGGGAUUAAUUCACUGAUUGGGUUAAGACUCUCACAACCCAAUCAUUUCUCCUCUGAACCGUCUUGCAUUGUUUCACAUGUGAACUUUUGGGGGACACUGAACAUCCACACCAUAACAGAGUCAGUGAUAGAAGAAACUAAUCAGAUAAGAGAAAGUGGUGGACAGUGCAAAUAAGGUUCCUAAGAGUGAGAUGAGGUACCAAUUUCAGAUGAAGAGAGGCAGAUGGGAAUGAGGACUGAGAAGGGGCUAGAGGAUUUGAAUGUUAAGAUGGAUGUUCUGGGCUAUCAUUAUGGGUUUUGAAGUCAGAUUUUAAGGAUUAAGUUGGGAUAAACAAAGUAGAGGCAGAGACCAUAGGUUCUAUGAAGUUUUAUAAAUAGAAGAGAGAGAGAGAGAGAGAGAGAGAGAGAGAGAGAGAGAGAGAGAGAGAGAGAGAUGAAGUAGUAGCUGAGGGUUGAGAAAAGAUUUGGGCAUUUAUGUAGAUAAAUGGGUGAGAGUGAGGAUGAGGUUGAAAUAAUGAAUGACUCAAAAGUUCCCAGAGGAGAAGGUAGAAGGUAGAAUUGAGAGCAUAUAGGAAGGAGCUUGUGGGGCACCUGCAUUUCUUUUUCUGAGAUGGGAAAUAAAGGAGGAGCAUUUAUCUUCUACCAUUAUGGGGAAUAACCAUGGCUCCCUUCAGCUCACAUUUGGGCUGUGCUCCCAGAAACAAAAUUUCAGUCUAGGUGAUCAGCAACUUGAUGUAGAAUGGCAAUUGUUAGUUUUAAACUUGGUAUCUUAGAGGUCAAAAGCAUUUUAAAAAUGUAGUGUGAGCAUAUUAGUCUCUUCAAUAACCCAUUUGCUUAUAUAACCAAGAAAUAUUAAACUGCUAAGAGGUAAAACCCAAAAUGUAUGUUCAGAAUUUUCUAAGGGUGAGAAACUAAGCAGUUGAUAUUUAUCAAAUGCUGUUUAUCCUGUUGACAACAAGUGUUUCUUAUCUCUCCAAAACUUAGGGGUAGUAGAAAUGAAUAGUAACUUUAGUGUAUAAAGAUACAACCUUUGUAUACUCUUCAUUUGGCAAUAGUAUGUUAUAAAAUAGAAAAACAUUUCACAGGUAGUUUAAAAAAUAGGCCUAUACCUGUGUAUAUAAAUAUUUGCUUGCUCAUGUAAUUAAGUCUGCAAUAAAUACAUACACAUGAAAAUAUUUAUACUAAAAUGAUAGAAAUUUAUAGUUAAAAUUUUAUUUAUCAAAAUUCUGUUUAAUGCAGUUUAUGUUUUUAUGACAAAAAAAGACUUUCCAGAACUGACCUUUGAACUGUCUUUAUAUAAGGAACAUUUGCAAUGGGGCUUCUCAGGGCUAUGUUGGUUUGCUUUAAGGUAGCUCUGAUACUGUGAGUUGAUGUUAGAAAAUGUUUCAUUAAAAUAUUUCGGUGACCUACUAUUUUUUUUUUUUGACUAGAGAUGCCAAGAUGUGGGUGCAAAAAGUCUAAGGACAAACAAGUCUGAUGUAGGUGGUUGGACAUUCUUGAGUUGCUUUCAUGUCUUCUUGGCAGGAAGUGAAUGUCCAUCCCCCGCCUGUCCUUUGUCUCCGCCUUUUGCCCUCACAUGCUGCAGCUGAUGUUCCCUAAGGACAGAUGGGGGAAUUGAGGGUGUGUGGUCUCUGCUGGAUUGAGGAGCCACCCUGAUCUUUUGGAUCAUGCCUGUUCUCAACAAUCUCCUGUUCUUGAUGGGGUCUGGAGAGGGAAGAAAUACUGUCCCCACACUCCCAACUGUUGGCCCCAGUCCAUCACAGAUUCUAAAACAUACUAUUGAUGAGGAAGCCUCCAAGUCUGAACUUUGGUUUGAGUGGUUAAGAAUGAAGUCAAUUUUCUUUUGAUCUAUUUGAUCUUUACAAAACACCCUAAGGGAAACACCUUUAAUACUGGAGCCCCAAUAAUAAUAUUAUGAUUUAGAUAUGAGGUGUCCACCAAAAGCUCAUAUGUGAGACAAGGCAAGAAUGUUCAGAGGUGAAAUGAUUGGGUUAUGAGAGAUGUAACCCAAUCAAUAGCUUAAUUCAUUGAUAUGGAUUAACUGGGUAGUAACUGCAUGCAGGUAGGGUGUGGCUGGAGGAGGUAGGUCAGUGGGGGUGUGUAUCUGGGGUAUAUAUUUUGUUCCUGGUGAGUGCCAUUCCCUUUGCUUCCUGAGUGCCCUGUCCUGGGCUGCUUUCACACCCUUCCACCGUCAUGUUCUGCCUCACGGGGGCCUAGAGCUAUGGAGUUGGCCAUCUAUGGACUGAACCUCUGAAAUUGUGAGCCUCAAGUAAACUUUUUAUUCUCUAUAUUGUUCUCGUCAGGUCUUUUGGUCACAGUGGUGAAAAAGCUGACUACAACAUAAGAAAACUAAAAAUUAAGAAAAAUUUUUUUUUUUUUUUGUUGAGGAAAUACCUUGAUGUCACAAACAUGAUGCAAGUAAUUCUUCUUUUCCUAAAUACCGUUACUUAAACUAUUUAGUAGACUCUGGAUUCUUUGGAUAUAAAGCCAAAUGUAAGCAAAAAUAGAAGAAAAAGGAAAAAAAAUUGUGUGUAGAUACUAGGAUAUGGAAAUUAUUUGUGGACAUAUAUAAUUCUUGGUAAAAAUUUCAAGGAAAUCUAUUUUUUCCCCCCAAUAGUGUGCAUGAGGCUAAGGAGGAGAGGAAGGCCACUUUCUGGGGACUUCUCAAGGGUAGACAUCUAAUUGGAUGACUGGUGUCAAAAAGCCUUUCUGCUCCUACUUUCUAUCAGUCUUCCUAGGAACUGACAUGGAACCUAAGGGAGGGACUUCUCUCUCUUUUUUCCCCCCAGUUCCCAGGCCUCGUCUCUGUUUCCUCUAGUCCUUUUGGAUUCCCUCAUUACUUAAGACUAUUAAGUCAAACACUUUCUCUCUAUUCCUAUAUGUGAGGGAGGUUAAGACCUCAAUUACAAACUAUACAUCUGGAAACUCUGCCAAAAUAUGAUCAUUAAUCAUCUAAAUUCUGAUGGUUUGUUAAAGAUAUGAAGGUCUCAUGACUUUGGGGUAUGUUCUUGUUAUUUUGAAUUUUUUUGUAUAUAUAUCCACCUAUGUAGAUGUAUGUUCAUGCCUAGUUAUUUGAAUUGUCUAUAGUGCUCCCUUGACACUUUAGUGAUUCUUCAUCACCUUCAGAUAAAGUCCCAGCUCUUUAGCAUAAUUAAAAUUCUCUUUCCCUCCUUCUUUGUCUUGUUAACCCUUCCUCUCUUUAUGGGUUCAGCUCAGGACUCAUCAUUUACAGGAAAUGUCUGAGGUUCCAGAAUGUAAACAGGCAUCUCCAGUUCUUGAUGGGGUCUGGACAUACUCAUGUAUAUGCUCAUGUAUAAUUUAGCAUUUACUGACUCAUUAGUUCAGCAAAUAUUUAUUGAGCACCUAUAUUUAUUAACCAGCACUAUGAGCUCCACUAGGUCAGGGCAGUCUUAUAAAAUAGACCUCAACAAAUAUUUAUUCAACUAAAAUAGACGUGUAUAUGUAUAUUUUUAGUUUUAGGAAAAGGCUUCGUUGGAUACUAUGAAUGAGAUUGCUGUUAGGCAGUUGGAGUUACAAUCAGAAUAACUUGUCAUAGGUGGUGAUUAAGAGCCUACAUGCCAGAGCCAAAUUACCUGGGUUCCAAUCUUGGCUCCUCUGUUUGCUUGCUUUGUGACACCUGGCUCAUCAUCUGCUGUCCUUGGGUCUCAUAGAUAACAUGCCAUGUCACUGCUGUAGCUGCUUGACAAGGUUACUGAGAGGAUUAAAUGAGGAGGGUACAAGGAAAUGUAUUGUAAAAUUCACAGUGCUGUAUUUAUCAUUUAUUUAUUUGGAUUAACCUUCUCAAUUUCAUCCUUGAGUGUGCUUCUAAAACUUUAAUGAAUAUAUAAGUCACCUAGGGAUCUGUUUAAAAUGCAGUUUCUCAUUCUAUAAGUCUGGGUUGGAGCAUGAAUUUCUGCAUUUCCAACAAGCUCUUGGGGGUACUAAUGCCCUGGUCCACAGACCACACUUGUGUCUAAUAUAGACCCACGAAUUUCAAACCUUACUGUGCAUCAGGGUCCCCUGGAGGGUUUAUUUAAAACAUGAUUGUUGGACUAUACCUCUGCUUCCAUAAGUCGAGGGUGGGGCUAACUAAGGAUUUGCUUUUCUAAGAAAUUCCCAGGUGAUGUUAAUACUGCUAAUUUGGGAACCUCAUACUUUGGGAACCACUGAUCUAGAAAACAGAUGAUUGUUUUACUUGGAGGGCAAAUUACUUUGCUAUGCUACAGAAAAACAGGAAUUAGAGACUUCAGACUUAGAUUCUUCUAGUUCUGGUGCCUAAACACAUUUAAUAUUAUUUUUAACAACAAGGGGCUCUAACAUGUCUCUAUAGGCUUUGCAUUGCCCUAAACCUGCCACAUCUGGAGUCCCAAUCUAACCCUGAAACCCCUGACAAGGAUUACUCUUAGAGCCAAUGGGAUUCUGGCUCUUAACUAGACAUCCUCCUAGAGAAAGGUGAAAAAGAGAAUGCUGGUAGAUUUCUGGAUCUGUACAGAAACCCUUGGAGGACAGGCAUGAGUUAUAUGACUCCUUAGGGCUUACUCACAGCAGAUUUUUUCAAGAGUGAGUGAGUGUGUGUGUGUGUGUGUGUGUGUGAAACUUGUUCUUAAUUAAAGCAAUUAUUAGAAAAAGGUCAAAUCAAAAUAUACUGAACUGUAUCUUCAGAAGUUUAUUGGUACUCUCUGUUACUUUCAGUGGAGAGAUGUUGGUAGCAUGUUCUGGAAAAAUUCAUGCCCUCUUAUGUCAGCCUAGUACUGUUAGGCUAGGCAGCCUCUUCUGUCCAAGGGAGAAAAGUGAAAAGCCCAUGGAACAUAGUCAGACUUGCUCAUCCUGGAAAUGAACCAGACCUUUAUACUCAACACUUAAUGUCCCUUCUUCUAUAGGAUAGUGUGCUGUCUUCUGGGAGUGAGUUGAGGAAUGGGUCUUAUCCCUGAGAUGUUCAUGGUUUUAAGAGAGAUGAGGAUUUAUGUGAACAGUUACAUUUUAAGCAGAAUGGAACAACUGAGAUGUUAACAUACUACUAAUGUGAAAGGGGAAUGCAAACAAGGAUACGUUUUGCAUGAGGAAGUUGGAUUUGACAUGUGGACUGAGACCUUGAAAAUUAAAGGAUUUAGAUGGAGGACCAUUCAGGUAAUUAUCACCAUGUACUUACUGUACUGAGCCUAGAUGUAAAACUUCCCACUUACUGUACCUUGCAAGGGUUAUUUUUCCUCAAAUCAGUGAUAUAUAAUUCAGAAAAAUGGAAAUGAACUUUAUCAAUGGAAAUGUUUAUAAUAUUUCAUUGCAGAAAAGGUCAAUGAUUACUUAGAUACGUUUUAGAUUUCUGUGCCAAGAUUGAACCAAGAACCAGUGAAAUUUUGGUUGUUGACCAGAUGACUGGUUUUGCUGUUGGCACGGUCAGCACAAUUCUAAAAGAGAAUUCAAGGCUGACUAUAGUUUGAAGACCAAUGACUUCCAAAGGCACCCUUCAACUUUGGAGGACAUUGCUGUGAAUUAUUUCUCUUUCUUACAGAGCCCUAUAGAUUUCUUAUGGUAAGAAAGCUGGACAAGACGAAAGAAGUCGUGAUCUACUGAGGUCCAGUUUUAAGUUUGAUGGAGCCCAAGCCUGUUCUUUUGCUCACCUGCCAUCACACAUGCUUUGAGACCUCCCCGGACUGUUUACUUGAAAGUUCCUCUUCCUCAACUGUUUAGUUUCUUCCCUGUUGGCAUCCUUAAGUCCUUAUCGACUUGAAACCCAUCCCUUCAGUCACUCUCUUGCCACUUGACCACUUUAUUUUUCUUUCCUGACCUUUUGUCCUUCUCUGGCACUUGUCCACCAAAUCCUCAACCCUAGAUCAAUCCAACAUCUGAUGAUUAUCUGUCUUUAUCCCUUUACUUUAAACAUGUACUACUACGCUUAGGUGUGUUUCUCCUAAGAUACCUAUAAACUGCUUUUUUGUUUGUGUUUGUUUGGUACUGAUAAUUGAACCCAGGGGUGCUCUACCACUGAGUUACAUUCCCAGCCCUUUUUCCUUUUUAUUUUGAGGCAGGAUCUUGCUAAGGGUUUCAUUAGGUUGUUGAGGCUGGUCUCAAAUUUUGAUCCUCCUGCCCCAGCCUCCAGAAUCUCUGGGAUUACUGGCAUGCUCUACUGUGCCUUGCCUUUGUUUUUACUCCAAUUGAGGAUACGUAGUUUUAAAAUUGAAGUUGGUGAGUUUAACUUGUUUAUAGUUACUGUGAGUACUGAUUUAUUUGAACAUAUUUAUAGCAUUUUUUAAGAAAAAAAUUUAUAAUGUUUUUCUCUUUCUUUAUUCAGUGCUGGGGCUUAAACCCAGAGGCCCUUUGCCACUGAGCUGCAUCCCUAUCCCUUUUUAUAUUUUUAUUUUGAGACAGGGUCUCACUAAGUUACUUAGGGCCUCACUAAGUUGCUGAGACUGGCCUCAAACAUGAGAUCCUCCUGCCUCAGCCUCCAGAGUCACUGGGAUUAUAGGCAUGUUCCACCGUGCCAGGCAUGUUUUUCAUUUUUUAACAUCAAUUAAUUAUUCUUUAGAAUUAUUUUUCUUCACCUUUGUGUCAAAAAUUUACAUUCUUUAUUCGUUACCUUUGGCUUCUCAGCAGAUGUACUUAACAAGCCUAAAAUUGAUAAAUAUUUCUAUACUUCCUUAGGAUAUUGUACACCCAAUAGAAUUCUUGAACUCUGGCCACUCCAUCCUGUAUUCCAUAUUAUUGGUGUCUAGAAUUUUAGCUCCACCUGUAUUUAAUCCUCCCAUUAGUCACUGUUAUUUAAAUAAAAUCUAAUUUUAUAUUUGCAUAUAGAAAAGUAAAUAGAUCAUUGUUAUAAAAUUUGAAACACUUUCAAAAAGGGAGCAUAAUCCAUGUAACAACCACAUAGAUCCAGAAAUAGACUGUUACUGGAACCCAGAAGUAAUCGCUUCCUAACUUCUAAAUUCUGUCAUUAUUAUUAUUAUUAUUAUAAUUAUUUGGUACUGGGGAUUGAACCCAGGGGUGUUUAACCACUGAGCCCAAGCCUAGCUCCCCUCACCCCCUUUAAUAUUUUACUAGAGAAAGGGUCUCACUGAAUUGCUAAGUGCCUUGAUAAGUUACUGAGGCUGGCUUUGAACUCGAAAUCCUCCUGCCUCAGGCUACCAAGCUGCUGGGAUUACAAGUGUGUGCCACCGCGCAUGGCAAACUUUGGUGAACAUUGAUUAAUUAAUUUGCCUGUUUUUAACUUUAUAUGGACAUUUACAUCUGGAUUAUUUCCCUCACUAUUAUUUUUGUGAGAUUGAUAGAAGUUGUUGGAAUCACUGAGACAUUUAACAUUGGAUCUGGAAUGUCCCUCAAAAGCUCAUCUGUUGAAGGCUUGGUCCCCUAUGCAGUAAUGUUCAGAGGUGGGACUCAUGGGAAGUAGUAGUUUGUUCAUUCCCCUAGCUGUAAAAUGAUCCAUUGUAUGAACAUAUAUGCUUAUUUAUCUAUUCUUCUAUUGAUGGACAUUCAAGUUGUUUUUAGUUUGUUUGUUUUGAAUAGCCUUCUAUGAACAUUGCAUAUGUCUUUUCCCAUUUCUGUGUUAAGUAUCUUAAGUACAAGUUCAUAGUGUACUUACUUCUGUUGAGUGUACCUAGGAGUAGAAUUGCUGAGAUAUGCAAUUUACAUUCUCAUCAAUAGUGUAUAAGAAUUCUAGUUUUGUGAAGUGCCUUUGAAAUCCUUGCUGUGGUUUGUAUUUUAUUUUGAGAUAAAAGUCUCCCUGAAUUGUGCAGGCUGGUCUUGAAUUUAUGAUCCUCCUGCCUCAGCUUCCUGGGUAACUGGGGUUACAGGCAUGCACCAACCACCAUGCCUGGCUUAAGUUAAAUUUAAAUAGUCCUAUGUGGUAAAUGGCUACUGUAUUAGAUAGUGUAGUUCUGCAGUCAAUUUUAACUGCCUAAGCAGCUCAUGGGGCACCUUGGAUAUAUGUAGUGGUCUUCAUUACAAUACCCUUCUUUGGGCAGUCCAUAUCUGUUAUCCUAUAACUCUUGACCCCAGCCUCAGCAUCUACGCUCUAUUCUCUCAGGCCACCGUAAUAGCAAUUGGAGUUGGCUUUACUUUUCUUCUCUGAUUACACUCAGCUAUCUAUUGCAUAUUUUUUGCAGUAUUAUCUGAUUGUUCAUGGAGAGGGGAUAUGUACUUCUCAAGCUGCUUGUCAUUUAUCUUCUGCUGUCACCACCCUGGAGACUUCCAUUGCUAGUAGUAGCGGUUCCAUAGUGUUACAUUUAACGAUUACUUCCUAAUCUUAUACUAUAUGACUCUGGAAAGUUUUGACUUUAUUGAUCGUUGUUUCCUUUGUCUCUCCACUUGACAUAUUCCAUAGCUCCAUGGUUUUCUUUCUACCUGUAUUGAUUCUCUCUUCCUGACUCCUUCUAGAAUAUCUCUUAUGCUCCCCCGCUUUCCAACUAGCAAAGAAGAUUUAGUCCUUAGUAUUAUUUUCUCACUCUAUCUGUAUUCCCAGAGUGACUUCAUUAAAAUUUUGGGCUUCAAAUAUAUUUUAUAAAUUCCAAAAUUUGUGACUCCCAUUUUUGAAACAUUAACCGGUGUGUUCUCAGUGUUUCCUGUUCUCCAUUUGAUUUGUACUUGUUAUGGUUUGGAUCUGGAAUGUCCCCUAAAAGCUUAUGUGUUGAAGGCUUGGUCCCCUAUGCAGUAAUGUUCGGAGGUGGGGCUCAUGGGAAGUGACUGGGUCAUGAGGGCUCUGACCUUAUCAGUGGAUUAAGCCAUUGAUGGAUUCAUAAUUUGAUGACACUGUUGGGAGGUGGUGGAAACUGUAGGAGGUGAGACUUAAUUGGAGGAAUCAGGGUGUGUCCUUCAGGGGAAUAUCAUGUUCCUUGCUGUAUCUCUCUACUUCCCACCUGCUAUGAGGUGAAUAACCUUUCUCUGCUUCCCACCGUGAUGCUCUCCUCUGUCUCAACACAGGCCUUAUAGUGAUGGGGCCAAGUGACCAUGGGCUGAAAUCUUUGAAACCAUGAGCCAAAGUAAAUCUUCCUUCCUUUGAAGUUGCUUAUGUUGGGCAUUUUGUCACAGUGACAGAAAGCUGGCUAAAUUACCACUCAUUCUUGUAAAAAUAAAAAGCAUCAACAAAAAGCAAAAUACAAAGCAGCAGGUUUUAUAGGGUUCACAAAGUUCAGGGAGAAGGUUAAAAAAUUUCAGAGAAGAAAUUGCUGCAUGAUGUAUCUAGGCAGACUGUUGGCUUAAUGUUCCCCUGAUUUGUCUCUAAAAUAAUUGUAGGGGACUGCAGAUGGUACACUGGUAUAAGGUGCAGUCUUAGAUGUUUUUUGAUUUAUUUUAUUUGUUUAUUUAUUGGCAAAUAAAAAUUAUAUUUGUGACAUAAAAAUUACAUUUUUUGAAAAAAAUAUUUACUGUUGCAUAUUAAUUAUACAGAACAGUAGGUUUCAUUGUGACAUAUUUGUGCAUGCAUAUAACAUAAUUUGGCCAAUGUUAUUCUCCAGUACCACCUCUCUUAUCCUCCCCUCCUCCAGCCCCUGCACCUUUCCUUUGCCCUAAUGAUUUCUCUUCUACUUUUAUGACACCCUUUCCUCCUUCUUUUUUUUUUUCAUUUUUUUUAUGCUUUCCAAAUAUGAGAGAAAAUAAUGAUACCUGUCUGAGUCUGGCUUAUUUCAUUUAACAUGAUACUCUCCAGUUCCAUCCACUUUCCUGCAGAUGAUGUAUUUUAUUCUUCUUUAUGGCACAGCAUCAUUUCACACUGAGGAAAGUACCAUAUCAAGACAUUCUUCCUCCUUAUCAAUCUAUUUAAUCCUUCAACACAAAUGGGCUGCUCAUCUGCCAUUAAUAUAUAUAUAUAUAUAUAUAUAUAUAUAUAUAUAUAUAUAUAUAUAUAUAUAUACAUCUCACAUUUUCUUUAUCCAUUAAUCUAUUGAUAGACAUCUAGGCUGAUUUCAUAACUUGGCCAUUUUGAAUUAUGCUGCAAUAAAGAUGGGUAUGCACAUAUCCCUAAAGUAUGCUGGCUUUAAUUAUUUUGGCUCAAUACUGAGAAGUGGUGUNNNNNNNNNNNNNNNNNNNNNNNNNNNNNNNNNNNNNNNNNNNNNNNNNNNNNNNNNNNNNAUUUCACACUGAGGAAAGUACCAUAUCAAGACAUUCUUCCUCCUUAUCAAUCUAUUUAAUCCUUCAACACAAAUGGGCUGCGCAUCUGCCAUUAAUAUAUAUAUAUAUAUAUAUAUAUAUAUAUAUAUAUAUAUAUAUAUACAUCUCACAUUUUCUUUAUCCAUUAACCUAUUGAUAGACAUCUAGGCUGAUUUCAUAACUUGGCCAUUUUGAAUUAUGCUGCAAUAAAGAUGGGUAUGCACAUAUCCCUAAAGUAUGCUGGCUUUAAUUAUUUUGGCUCAAUACUGAGAAGUGGUGUAGCUGGAUCAUAUGGCAGUUCAAUUUUUAUUUUUUUGAGGACCCUCCCAUACUGAUUUCCAUAGUGUCUCUACUAAUUUACAUUCCUACAGUGUAUAAACAAUAAACUAUUCUACAAAUGAUGCUUUAAUAAAUGUAUUGUACAUUUUAAAGUGGCUAUAUCAGGCUAAUAACAUAAGCAUUACCUCACAUCAUCUUUAUUAUUAUUACUUUGGAAUGAAAACUUUGGUCUAUUUUUCAGGUAAAUAAUAAGUGGCAGAACUGCUACUAGACCUCAGGCCAUUCAGAAAUGCUAUACCUGCUGCUAACAACCCAAGACAUAAUAAAGUAGUAAUCCUCCCUUAAAUUUGACUUACUUUAAGGAAUCUAAGAAUAUGAAUGAAUAGGAAAUUUCAAGAGAUUUCAGUUAUAUUUAUUGUUGCAACUGGUCUAUAAUGGUGUAACAUCUUACGUGUUUCAACUAAAGCCGAAAAUAUAUACCUCAUAAACUUAAGAAAAUUUUCUUCUAGUAAUCAUUUUAAUUGCGUGUAUAUGGAAAGGAAACUAUUAAGAGACACUUUGAAACUCUUUUUAUUUAACCCUAGUCUACUUUUAGCCAAUAUUUAUGGGAACCAACAUUAUCCCUUCUCAGUAACUACAUUUUCCUGUUUCCUCCAAGGGUCAUGUGAAAGACUAUGUAUAAUCCAGAAGAGAUAUUUCUACGGUGGAAAAAAAAAGAAAAAACCCCAUAUUUAAGUCAAUUCAAGUCUUUUCCUGACGUCUAGGCUGAAUCUAGGACACAUCUGGACAUUGGGAAACAUCCAACUUUGACUUUUCCAGUUUGCAGCAGAACAUUUAGUAAAUAAAAGAAUAAGGAAUUCAUCCUAAUUGUGUGUAUGUUUUAAAAAUGUCAACAGCAUUUCAGUGGGGCUGGUAUCCCCACAGCACAACCCUUGUUUCUUGCCCCAUGUCAGACUUGCCCCAUGUUGGCCAAGGAGACUGACAUUCAAAGGGUGUGGUUUUUGAGGUUGCCACAUGUCUUGCCAUGACUUAAAAUAACUUCUCUGGCUGCCAGAUGGCUUGAGGAAGCACCAGACACAGAAUCCGUUGACUUCAAAACUUGGUGCCUUAGGACUGGAGGCUCUUUCAGGGUCCUUAACUUUCUGUUUUUAAAUAGUUUGACCAUUUCAGGCCCUAAGGCAAGAUCUUGUUCUUCUUUACUUCUUCCAUCAGUGAAAGCAGAAAGUGAGAAUUAAUUUCAGGCACAGAAAGUGAAUGUUGACCUUUCAUUGUUCCUUUGAGAACAUCCAUCUUUCUCCAAAUCUUUCAUUUUCAGCUUAACUUCUCUUGGAUACUGUAUGCAUAUGAGGUGUGGAGAAAACCCAUGGGGAAACUAUUCUGAGAGGCUACCAAUAGACCUGUUCUGGCAGGGAUGGAGGAAGAAACAUCAGAUAUGCUCAUCAAGUCCAAUUCCCUCCUGGGUGCAGAUACAUAAAGUGCAAUUUUUGAAUAAUAAUAUCUGGAAAAUGAGAGAAAAAUAAUCAUCUUAAAAGAAAAGUCAGAUAACAUUAUUUAGAGAGGGGAAAGAAUUUUUUUUCAUUUAUAGAAGGAAGAAUGAAAUAAAUUGGCUUAAAAAGAGACAAAUAAAUACAUAGCAAGGAGACUUUCUUCAUCAAAUAUUUACUGAGCACCUACUAUGCACCAGAGAAAGUAAUAGAUUCUGGAGAUAUGAUAGUGGAUUAGAGAUGUUCUUUAGCUUCAUGGAUUUCUUAGUCUAGUGGGAGGGCACAACAAGCUACCUAACCCAGUGUUGGCUUCAUUUUCAAAGAUCCUGUUACAAAACAAAAGAAAACAAAAAUUCAGUUCUGAUUUUUUAAAAAAAUAUUUUCUCACCCUUGGAUCGUUGGCUGCCAAAUACAAUUGUGGUGGAGGAAGACAGCUUUUAUAUAAGACGGUUGGAUAGCUGCCCACCUCCCGGCUUUGCAUAGAUAUCAUUUCUCAUAUCUCACCAUCUGAUGAUUUAUUGGCUUACAUUGGUCUCCCCCUAUAGAUUGUGAGUCCCUUAAAAUCAAGGAUUUGACUUGACUUAAUAGUCUCUGUUUGGGCCCAGCAUAGUUCUAGGAUGAGUAAAUAAAAUAAUCAAGACAGAUGAGUAAAAGAAAUGAAUGUUUGCACAGCAUCAUUUCACAUUGAGGAAAGUACCAUAUCAAGACAUUUUCCUCCUUAUCAAUCUAUUUAAUCCUUCAACACAAAUGGGCUGUGCAUCUGCCAUGUACAGACUUUGCAUCUGUCAUAGAACUUGGUAGAGAGCAAGCUAGACAAAGCACUGGCUCUUGUGGAGUCUGAUGGAGGAAGACAGCUUUUAUAUAAGUAAUACAUAAAUGCAUACUUCUUAAUUCUAUCAAAAUAUAGGUAAAAUGUUAGAUGAUUUUUUUCUGAAGAUGGCAGGGAAAUUUUAUAUUUCGCUAGUUUUUGGAUGCCUAUAAGAAAUGUCUUGUAUUUUCUCCCACUCUCCCUUCCUAUCCACCUGUAAUAAUUAAGUGUUAAGCACAAUUUCUAUAGAGAAAAUGGCAUAACAUAAUGUUCAUUCUAGAUAUUUUAACUGCUCGGCUUGGUUCAAUUGUUAACAGCAAAAUCCGAUUUUUGUUAAACACAUUGAUUAGUGGUACUUGCAUUUUCCCCAAGGUUGUCUCACAGUUGUUCUGGUGUUAUCUAGUGAGUCAGAACUCAUUUUUUCAGAGAAGCUUUGGGGCUCUAAAAAAUUGCCAACACCUAUAGUCAGAUGUGUAUGUUCCUGUCCAUUAAGGGUAUGAAAGGACAGAUAGAUAUGAUAUAGAGGUAGAAAAUAAGAACAACAGUCAUUUUUGGUUCUCUCCAAAUGUCAGGAAUACUACUCCUAGAAACUUAUGAAAUUAUUAUGAAAUAUAUAUGUGCAUGUACCUAGACAUAGAUAUAUUCACUACAGAUUUAGCAAAAUAAACUUUCAGCAUUAGAGGUGAACAAUGGAGGAGCAAACUGAUCCCCUUAUAUAGUAGGUCAAUACGCUACUAUUAAAUUUGUUUCAUAGUUCCCUUUGUAGUUUCUGGAUAUAAAACAGAAGCCUCCCCACCAGCAUUCUUUUCUGUUCCUUUCUCUCUUUUCUCUUUUCUACUUUGAUUUCUUUUUUCUAAGUGCUACCAUGUGGGCCUCUGAGUUGUACUGCUAAUACUAACAGUGCAUGUAACAUCAGCAGUAAACCAGUAUGGAGGUGAGAGGGCAUGGGACAUGGUAUGGUGGUCCUGGAUAAUACUAGUCACAGGUAUUUUAUUUCUCAGGUCAAAUAAACUAAAAUUGUCUGUUAAAAAAGUUUUUUUUUCUGCUGUUGCUUAAUAUUAUACUUUUUAAAAUGAAAACAUGAUCUCUUUAGUCCUAGUCUGAUGUUGAAUUGCUUACCAUUCUAAUCAAAACAUGGGGGCUCAGUUGAUAAGAAGAAGACAAUUAAGAAAGACAGAAUAAAAGAAAUGGAAAAAAAAUAGAAGUACUGACAGCUUCAACACUAAACUAGAUCACUUCCCCAAAUGAGUGUCCAUCUGUGUUCACCUUGUCAGUUACAGAUAAGAGCCACUUUAGAACCAUGUGUAGGAGGUACUUCAUGUGCUCUGAACCAGGCAUCCUGAGCAGGGGUGAUUCUACCCCAAGGGGCCUUUUUAUAUGUGAAGCAUGGACAUAUGAGCAGCAUGCAAACAGAUACACAGCAUAACGAUGGUACUAGAAUUCCACGUGGAGGAAGUAAUUAGGAAAAAUGUCUGGAAAGGUACUUUGCUGAGAAGGAAAUAAUGAAAAUAAAUAAUGGAGGAACACUGCCCUCAGUGGUAUCUUUAUGCUGGGUAAAGGAGAUAAUUUACUUCUGGAUGAAGUUUCUUUUCCUUUUUCUCCUUCUCCUUCUCCCCCCACUCCUUUUCCUCCUCCUCCUCCUCCUCUUUUUUCUUUUUCUUCUUUUAUUUUUCCUUGGUACUGGGGAUUGAACUCAGGGGGGAUUUACUGUCCAGCUACAACCCCAGUCCUUGUUUGUUUUCUUUUUCUUUUGAGACAGGGUCUCACCAAGUUGCUGAGAUUGACCUUCACCUUGAACUUUUGAUCCUCCUGCCUCAGCCACCCAAGUCUCUGGGAUUAUAGGCGUGCACCACCACAAAGGUUUGGGGGAGCAGGAUGAAGCUUCUUAAUCUCAAAGAACCUGAUAUUUAUGCUACAACAUCAACUAUGAAAUGACCUGUAUGGGAUAAAGCCAAAAUGGUAGCAUGGCUUAUAAAUGAUGGAUGAUUGAUAGGUUUCUCAAGAGCUGUUGUAAUUCCAACAAAUGUAGGCCUCAACAGAAAAUUUGUAUUGAAAAAAAAAAAAAGAAAUGAUGGUAGGCAAAUCCUUUUUUUGGUUUAUUUAUAGAAUCUGUAGUCCUUAUGUGUUCAUGUACAAUAGAAAUUCUCUCAACUGACCCUCACUUAAUUGGCUUGCCAGAUUUACAGAGAUUACGCACAUCUCCUGUGAGACCUCUUCACUGAGGACCAUGGCACUUUGGAUGCUGUAGGCUAGUAGGCUACUCACUAUUGUACCCCAUGCUCUGUUUUUUAUAUGACUUAUAUGCUUACUAAGAGUCAGCUUGGUUUGUUCCCCAACCUGUGCACACCAGUUUCAUUUGUUACUGUACUUAGUUAUUAUUGAAUGAAAUAUCAAGUAUGUCUAUGAAUACAGAAGGAAAGAGGACUAUGGCUUCUACAAAACCCAAGUUGAAUGCAUUAGAUAGAGUCAAAACGGAGAAUUCUAGUUUAAAUUGAGAGUAUUCAAACAGUAUGCUUGUCCUUAGCCAUAUCAAUUCCAGGCACAGAGUAGAGAGAGCUGUGAAUUAAGCCAGGUUUGAGGUUCUGCCAGAGGAUUAUGAAGGAGGGAGAGAAGAUAUAGGGAAUUAUAAAUGUAUACAGGUCAGCGAGUUUAGCGAUGGUUAUUGAACUUUAAGCUGCAUAAAAAGGAAACAUGAGAACAUGAAGGAUGUGAGAGACUUUGAGAAGAUGAUAGGCUUAGUCAACUGGAGAGCACUUGGGUAAUCGAGUGAUCUGGAAUUCUGGAGGUUGUGACUAGAGAAUGAAAUGUUUGAAAUUAAUAAAUUAAGAUAAUGGUAAUGACGAGGGGGAGUUGGCAGAAGCAGACUGCUGUGCAAUUUAGUACUGGCAAGUUAGUAAGUGCCAGAGGGGUUCAGAGGAUAGAGGACGUUGUCCAGGUUGGGUAAAGUGUCGUGGAGGAAUGGGGUUUACAUCUGAGUGUAAAAGGCUGAAAAGUCAGCUUGGGAUAGACAGAGAAAGAGGUUUCAGGUAGUGGGCCACAGAAUGAGUAAAGGCCAAAUGGCAGGGAGAAGCAUGAUGUGUUUUUUUGUGUUUGUUUAGUUUUUCUUUCUUGGUACUGGGGAGCAUACCCAGGGCCUUGCACCCACAAGAUAGGGUCUCACUAAACUGUCCAGGUUGGCCUCGAACUUGUGAUCCUCCUGCUUCAGUCCCUUGAGUAGCUAGGAUUACAAGUGUGUGCCACUGUGCCGGGUACAUGGUGUUUUUUUUUGAUGUCAGUACCUUUAUGAGGUAUGGCAACCUCAGACUGUGACAGUUUUGUUGAGAUGCUGGAUAGAGGGUUGUUGAGAUGCUGGAUAGAGGGUUGUUGCCUUUUUACUUUUCUGUAAAAAAGUAAUUAUUGUUUGGUGGCUGUCUUUUAGAAUUCUCUCAAUGGCCUGAUCUUUAUUGACAUUAUCCUUUGGGUCAGAAUUCAUUCUUGCAUGAAGUUUUAGGCUGUGAGAAAUUGCCUACAUUUGUAAACAUCCAUAAACAGUCAAACACGGGCUGGGGAUGUGGCUCAAACGGUAGUGCGCUCGCCUGGCAUGCGUGCAGCCGGGGUUCAAUCCUCAGCACCACACACAAACAAAGAUGUUGUGUCUGCCGAAAACUAAAAAAAAAAAAAAAUAUUAAAAUUCUCUCUCUCUCAAAAAAAAAAGGAAAUUAAAAAAAACCAGUCAAACACAUUAAAAUACAAAAGGGAAGAUGGAAAUAGAUGAGAAAGUUAGAAAACAAAAUUUGAGUGUGUACCCAAGUUCACUUGGAGGCUGCAUUCUUAGAUUCUUGUGUCUGGUAAAUCUCAGAUUCUUUAUCUUUGAACAUUGAUCUUAGGACUUUUUAUCUUAGAAUGUCACCCCUUCACAUUUAUGAUUUUUCCCCUCAUAGAUCCAAAAGUAAACUGAGUUAAUUCACGUCCACUUCCCUUUCACUUUCCAUUUAGUAUUUAUUGAUUUGAGAAGAGAUACUGAACUAUCACAAGUACCCAUAUACGGAGAAAGUUUGACUAGGGUCUUCUAUCUCUUUAGCUAGAUCAACAAUGGAAAGAGAAGUUAUUAGAAGGCUGCUAGGUGAGGGGUGUUCAGAACAAGGGUCAUUUUUUUAGAUAAAACAAAAUUUAUUGAUAUCAAAAUUUAUUGAUAAAUAUUCACGCUAUGAAUGCCCAAGGCAUCUAUCUCCAAAAGAGUUUUCCUGUUACUCCCGAUCAUUUAUUUUCAAUUAGGGUCCUUGUAGGCAAGAGGUGGCAUACUUAAUUUUUCUUGAAGAGACAUCAAUUAAGGGAUUUUUAAAAUAGGUUAUAGGAGCUGAUGACAAAGCACCUAGGGGACUAGUUAUGUUGGGAAGCUGUUACCCAUCUUAGACCUGAAGGGACAAGGAGAGUAAGUUGGUGUUGGAGAACCCAGCAAGAGCUGUGGUUAGAGAGAGAGGUAUCCAACAGAGGCUGCAGCUAUAAGUAGAGGAUUAUUAUCUCUGCCAAACCUAGUGAGUCAGGGAAAGAAUAGACAGAAUAAACACUUCAGUCUCUCUCUCUCUCAGCACCCCCACCCCCCGCCCCCUUUUUCAUCCUCCAGUCUCUUCCCAUUGGUGGAACCCAACUGGAAGCUGGGAGGCAAGAGAGUCAGCUGAUAAGGUCCAAAGUGGUCAACUCCUACAACACAACCAUGAAUAGAAAAGUUAAGAACGGAUCUGGAGAGAGGAAAAGAGAACAAACAGAAUCCUACUUUUUUUUUUUUAAACUCUUUAAUCCUUCAGAAGUCUACACGCUUUUACUUUUUCCCAAGAGUAGCACUUUAUUACAAUUCUGGAAAGUUAAAAUUCUGAAUUUUUUUGUUUUGUUAUUAAUCCAUGUAGAGUUGUGGAGAUGACUCAGUAAAUAGAAUGUACUGGAAAACAGUGAAUGGCAGGUGGAAGUCAAAACAUCAUGUUUAUGAUUGGUCAAAUUUGGUUGGAGGAAGAGCUUGGUGUGAGAAAUCUACCACUGAGCUCAGAAUUCUUCAGUCUUUUUCAUCCCAUCUCAAAUGACACAAAACCAUAUGGUGGAGAGUCUGUUCCUGCAGGAGACUAGGGGUGUGUGUGUGUGUGUGUGUGUGUGUGUAAGGGGCAGGCAUGCCCACUAGGUCAAAGCUGUUGAGUCUUGAGUCUGGCAUGUGUCCUUUGAGGUCAGCUUAUGCCUACCAGCAAGGUUUUCCACUGUUUUUGGAGUAGUGUGAAUUAAGAGCAUUGGAGGGCAAUGACUUUUCUCUUUCACAUUUUCUCAUUCAUUGGUUCAUUCAACUUCUACAUGUUUUCCGAAGUUAGGCACACUACAAAUGGGACUGCAAAAAUGAAUGGGAUGUGAUUUCUCUCUAGCAUCAGUGUUACCAAAUACUAAGAACACUUAAUAGUGACUGCAGAUGUUCCUUAUGGCAGGAUGUUCUUUUCAUUUGUUAUGAAAUGUUCACUGCUGCCAUAUAACAAAUACUUCUAUGAACCUUAUUUUACAGAUGAAGAAACUGGACUUGCUCAAAGUCACAGAAACUAGUUAGAGGCAGAGCUAGGAUUCAAAAUGUAGUUAGUUUAGCUCCAGAGCUGGUGUUCUUAACUUUUUCCCAGGUCCCAGGCCAGUGCUCAAGAGAGGCCUGUGAACAAAAACUACAGUGUAAUGAAUGAGGUAAGUGCUACUGGAGAGGCUGUACCAUGUGCAGAGGGAGCUGAGGAAGGAGUGACUCAACAGGCCUGUGUAUAGGACAUUGGUGCAAUUUCCCUUGCUCACUGCCAGAAAUGAACAGAAUGGAGUCUUUCGAGGGUGUGCGUUAUUACUACUAUGCAUGGAUUCAGAUAUAGAGGUCAACUUAUAUUGCCCCCAUGACCCUCCCAAAGAUAACAACACUUAAAAUAAUUUCUUCCACAUCCUGGACCCCCUCCAAGAGUUUUGUUCCAGCUUUUGGACAAGGGAGAAACAGGAAGAGGAUGUGCUAAUGUUCCCUGACUAGAGAACUGACUUGGAAUUUGGAAUGCUUUGUAAUUAAAAUCAUCAUUAAGUUUCUAUUGUCCUAAAGUACAUAUGUGUGUCAACUGUAUUUUAUAUUCAAUAGUAUAAAUUGCUAUCUGUAAUCACUAGCACCAGCUGUGAGAAUGGUGAAAUCUUAACAUUUUCAUAGUUUGUAGGUUUAUGUCAACUGAAGAUGAUUUAUUUCUUUAUUAAUAUUCUUCACCUCAAAUACAUUUUUUUGCUGUGACAAUAAUAAUUUAAGCAGUAAAUCACCAUUUCUGCUAAUAACACAAAACAAAUUCACUUCUAUUUCAUCAAACUUGGUAGAAAUUAUUUCAAUUUGGCUCCCUUAACUGAUUUAUAUUUUAACCUAUCUUUGAUAUAUUGAAUACCCACACAUUUGGUUCUUAUAUUUCUUGAUGUUAAAGUAAAUAUCAUUACAUCUAUUUGGGCAGACGGGGUACUCUAAACAGGUGCUGCCUGCCGCUGCCAAGUGAUGGUUUAUUCAUGCCAGGAUAUUCAACACAUCCUGUAGUUUAGUGUAAACACCAGGUGGGAUUCUAAUCCAUUCAACACAGAGCCCCUUGUUCAUCCUUCCUCAGUGAAUGAAAACCUAAGGGAAACCCCUGCCUGCUUAGGGAUUCUCUACACCUUUAGAAGUCACUGAAUCUCACUCACUCCGAAACAACUUACAAAGAGGGUGGAUCAGUUACCCCUAGUCUGCUCUACCAGUAACCUAUUUCUUGCAUGGUCUCAGAAAUUCUCAGUGAAGUCCCUGUCUGACAUGUAACAUUUCUCAUGCCAGUUUACUCUUUUUAGGGUUUUAGGGUUGGAGAAAUACUCCCUUCUGUCCAAGGUUGAAACUACUUAGGAGCUUUGAGUCCUUGACUCAGGACCAGAUCAUCCUCUUAUUAGUGAUAGAGAAAGACAGUGAGAAGAGGUGAUCCCCACCAUGAUGGGGUAUCCUUUAGGUCUUAUGGUCAUCAAGGCAGAGUCUUUGGUUUCUGGGGUGAGAGUUGCCACUUUUGGACCCAAGCAGCACCAUCAUCAGGGGAGUUUCCAAGGAAGAAGGACAUCUCUGCUUACUGAUUUGACCAGGUAUUGUCGCACAGAGGUGCAAAGGCACUGGAGUUCUGCUUCUACAGCCUUUCAUUUCUUAGAUGUAACAAGAAAUUGGUAUUAGGUGAGAUAGGAGAAACCAUCUAUCUUGUUGAAACUGCUGUUGUUUAGGGUCUUUGUCAAGCAGUCAGGUAGGUAGUCUGAUAAAUGGAGUAAAAUAUCCUUCCUUGGAGGUCUGGACAUUAUAAUUGCAAGAGAAGAGGCUAUGUCUUUUGAUAACUUAUCCAUCACUCAAAGGAAUAAUCUUGACUAUCGACAACUGUGACAAACAAAUGGAUGUCCCCCAAUAUUGAUUCUCUUUUCUAUAGUCAUAAAAUUCUGAAUAUGUAGAUGGGACCAGCCAUGAAGCUCUGAUUGAUAAGAUAUUAAACAAUAUUGAUUAAUGAGAUUUAAACAGAAAUAACACCAUUUCUGGGUUUCUCCCUGAAAGGGAGGGGCAGGCCAUAUGGAUUCAGGACCCAUAUAGGUCCAAGGAUGGCAGAGUUGCCUUACAGAGGCACCUGGGUUCCUGGCCCUUGGCCUGCCACACCAGUCCUGGACUGCUCAGUUCAAGACUGCUGGGUGAGAUAGGUAGGAAAAGCCAUCGAUUAUGUAUAAACUACUGUUAUUUGGGGUCUCUGUCAAGCAGUCAGGCCCCUAUCCUGAGUCAGCGACUUGGGUUUUUAGUAGAACAGAGUCAAUUUUGGUUGAGAACAUUGCCCCACUCCUCCAGCUCUUCUGUCUUCAAUAGCCUUACUUCUCUCAGAGACAGCUUCCGGGGACUCUCUGGGGCUUCCAUUUAGGGUGCUGUCUUUUGGGGACUCUAUAAAGAAAGAAAGGACUGUGAUAUUUAGACUUUUCACUUACAGUCACAAAUCCUGCCCGCAAACCGUCACUCCUUUCAGCAUUGUCGGAGAUCUCUGGCAUGCCCCAGGGCUGACAUCUGAACGAGGAAGGGUGUUUCUCAGACAUGACUCUAGUGUUUGAAUUUGUUGCUAGGACAUCUGUGGAAUUUCCAUAUUCUAUCUUAGGAAAGAAAUAUCAUUUUUCUUUGAUGGUACAUGCUUCAGCUAGAAAUACAAGGAAAGCACUGUUUGCGGUGGCAUUUUGGCAGAACUCUGAAGUGUGGCCUGGAUCUGGGAACCCAUAAUCCAAGAAUAAGGCACCAUUGACGUACAAAAUUGUUGAAUUUGGAUAGAAGCUAGGUUCAGCUAUGCUUAUGAAGCUACUGUCUUGUGGGGUCAAAGGAGCUUAUUUUUUGAGCAAGUGUGUUUCACUGUUUUCAGGCAACUACCAAAAUAAUUAUUUCCUGUGUGGGUCAGCAGGAGUGAGGUAAUCCCAGGGAAAAUGUUCCAUUGUGCUUGCUGGGCUGGGCAGUGCAGUGGCUCCAGACAUUCUCUUAAAGUAACAGUAAUUCCUAAUUGCAUUGAAUGCAUAUAUCCUUGGGAGGGAAGUUUAUUUUUCCAUUUGAUACUUCCAGGAUUUUGUGAUAGACAUCAAAUGAGAAUAUGCAACUACAUACACAUAUACGCACACAUACAUUAACUCUUCCGGGGGUGCCCUUAUCAUGUUGGUUCAUUUCAAUAGUGAAUAGAUGUUUUAGAGAGAUAAUUCUAUAUGAACCAAAAUAAUGCUUUCUGCCUCAAUCAGUGUAAAAGUAGAAACUUACCUUCUAUUUGUUCAUCUUGAGACACUUGAGGGGGUGCUUUAUUUGCUUCUCCUUCCCAACACUUACUAAUGGGUCUAUCACUGAAUACAAUUUUCAUUAAUCAUUUGUUCAAUUAAUGAAUGGAAGGAAAUGAAUCCCAGGAAGGAGAUUAAUACCUUGAAACCCAGCCAGGCAUGGUGGCACACACUUGUAAUCCCAGCUAUUUGGAAGUUGAGGCUGGAGGAUUGCAUGUUUGAGGCCAGUCAGGGCAACUUAGUGAGACCCUGUCUCAAAGUAAAAACAGUAAAUAAAUAAAAAGAGCUAGGGAUGUAUCCUGAUGGUAGAUCUUCCCUGGGUUCAAACUCCAGUGAAACAAAAGAAAAAACAAAAGCUGACCUUUCCUAGUACUGUGACAUUGAGACAAGAGUUUGACAGAAGGAGCCCCUCGCUAGCCAGCACUAACACAUCUCUGAGGAAACAAACUCUGCGAUUCCAAAGAUUAAACAACUCCGCUUCAAACUGCCAUCCAUCCUGGAAUCAGAGAAGUAGGCAUGGGAUUAUCCACACCAGUUGUGAGAUCCUGGCACUGCAAGUAGAGUGAAUUGUGGCAGCUGGAAUAACAGGUGGCAGACAAUCAAACUAGGUCAAAUGGGAUACCACCUCUGGUCCACAAAGUAGAGGGAUUUUUUGAAUAUACACCAUGUAAUACUUCACUCUGCUUGCCUUGCAUGACUGCUGGGGUAGAGGAGCUUAGAGUGUACAUUAUAGAUUAUAAAGCUGCAUAUUAUAAGAGGGAGUGCUCAUUACUAAUCAAUCCACUUACCAAAUUUUUGUGGAGUGCCUACUUUGUACCAGCCCAUAUUGGUGCUGGAGUGCAGAGGUAAACAAGACAGACUUUGCCCGCACUAUUAAGAAGCGUAGCUUCUACCAGAGGAAAUAGAAACACAAACCAGUAUAUAAAAUAAUUACAAAUUCUGGCCAUUUGUGAAAAAUAAACUGGAUAUUGAUGUAGAGAAUAAAUAGAAGUUCACAGGGUAGACUUGUCAGGAGGAGGAGUGAGCCUUGGGAAAUAAUUGGGAAAGGGAAGAUAAUUCCACACAGAGGGAAGAAUUCAUGUUAAGGACAUGUGGCCUAAAAGAAGUGGUAUUUUAGAGGAUGAACAAAGCAAAACAAAACAAAAUAGUCAUGAGUCUGCAGCAGAAUAAGUGAGGGGAGAAUCGCCUUAAUUAGCAAAAGUCCUUCUAGGAUUUUUGGAUCCUCUGGAUGCAAUUUGCAAAAGUGGAUGUUGAGUGUUUGAAGGAUUGACAGGAGGCUUUACUCUCCACACCAAGAGGUCUGAGCUCGAGUGUAGACCUUGCUCCCACUGUAUGGAUAAGGCCUCAUCUCAGCUUUUCUAUAUUCCACCCUGCUGAGUAAAGUAGAAUGGAAAGUUGAACUUCAUCUAAAAUGCAAGAGAAAAGCAAGUACUGUACAGGGGGAAACUGUGGAGCUUAUGAUUCUGCAGGAAAGGAGAAAAAUCAAGGCUGGGAAUGGCCAUCCACACCAAUUUGUAUUUGGAACUGAAAUUAAAGAGAAUACCGAUAUUGACAUCUAUGAUGUUCUUUUCGUUUUCUGCUCCUUGAUUUUUCAGUAUAUAAACCAUCUGGGAACUGUUCUCUCUUUGGGAGUCAUUAAGAUGUCAACUUCCAGUGCUGAAACUAUGGAAUAGAGUGCUUGUGUAUGUUUGUGUUUAUCAUCUACAUGCAGGUAGAUGAAAUGCUGAAUGCAGCUAGAUGUACUGACUUACCCAGGGGUACUAACUAGGAGACCUAUGCAAAUGUGGUUGGGAAAAAAAUUCUAUCUUCAUUUUUACUGUCCUUUCUAACUUAGACUUAACAUUACAAUGAUAUAUUUGGGCAAUGAACCACAGUUAUUUUAGCAGUGCUUGUGACUUUGUCAUCAAUAGAAAUCACAGAUAUAUAUUUUUAUAUCGCAUUAUAGUUUUUUUGUAGUUAUCUCAAAUACUAACUUAUGCUUAUCACUAUUUCAGAAUUACAGAAUUUAUCAUGCCAUAGCUCUAUAUUAUUAUUUUAUGUGUUAGUAAACAUGUUUAUUACUAUAUCAUGAAGAAUAUAUUGUAGUGCUUAUGAAUUAUGUAAGGAAAAUCACAUUAGAGAAGUAAAAAACAAGAAAUAAAAGAAAUAAAAUCAAUAUAGGGUAUGCUAAUAAGCAAAUUAUCACUGCAUGCAAGAGAAGUUCACCCUUUCUGGACACCUCUGGAAGAAUGUAGGAACAUGUACAGAGAUGCUCCAUCCAAGGGCAUCUAUGCACCUGCUCCUACCACCUCUGGCCGGGAGCUGCUCCUGGGUAAGUUAGUUCCCCAUCACUUGUGGCCUUUUUGAGCAACAGGACUGAGCAUUACUAUUAUAUUAUAUAUUUUUUUUAUUUCUCUAAGCCUUUUUUAAUACUUUUAUUGGUGUAUUAUAAUUACACAUAAUAGUGGAAUUCAUUGUUACAUAUUGAUAGAGGCACAUAAUAUAACAAUAUAAUUCAACCAGCAUCAUUCUCCAGUAUUUCCCCCUUUUCUCCCUUCCUCCUGCCCUCUGGUCCCUAUUUUCUACUCUACCGAUCUACCUUUAUUUUCCAGUUUCCUCUUUAGCUUCCACAUAUAAGAGAAAACAUGACCCUUGGUUUUCUGGGUUUGACUUAUUUUUAUUAACACAAUGUUUUCAAAUUCCAUUCAUUUUCCUGCAAAAGACAUAAUUUCAUUCUUUUUUAUGGCUGAGUAAAACUCAAUUUUUUUACGUAUACCACAUAUUCUUUAUUCAUUCAUCCAUUGAUAGACUCUUCAGCUGGUUCCAUACUUUGGCUAUUGUGAAUUAUGCUACUAUAAACAUGGGUAUGUAUAUAUUGCUGUAGUAUGAAGACUUUCAUUCUUUUUUUUUUAGUUGUAGUUGGAAACAAUACCUUUAUUUUAUUUAUUUUUAUAUGGUGCUGAGGAUUGUACCCAGCACCUCAUAUGUGCUAGAUGAGGGCUCUACUGCUGAGCCACAACCCCAGCCCUAAGACUUCCAUUUUUUUGGAUAAAUAACAAGUAGUGGUAUAGCUGGGUCAUGAUGGUUCCAUUCCUAGUCUCUUGAGGAGCCUCGUAGUGAUUUCCAUACUGGUUGUACUAAUUUACAAUCCUACCAACAGUAUAAAAGUGUUGCUUUUUCUCUAUAUCCUCUCCAAAAUUUAUUAUUGUUUCUAUUAUUGAUGGCUAUCAUUCUGACUGGGAUGAGAUGAAGUCUUAGUGUAGUUGUGAUUUACAUUUUCUUAAUUACUAAAGAUUUUGGAUAGUUUUUCAUGUAUUUGUUACUCAUUUGAAUUUCUUCUUUUGAGAAGUAUCUGUUCAAUUCAUUUGCCCAUUUAUUAAUUGGGUUAUUGGUUUUUUGGUGUUAAGUUUUUUUGAGCUCUUUUUAAUAUUCUUGUUUAUCUUUUCAAAGGACCAACUCUUCAUUUUAUUGAUCUUUUUUUUUUCUUCAAAAUUUUCUAUUUUGUCAAUUUUGACUCUGAUCUCAAUUAUUUCUUUCCUUCCGGGGCCUUGAGAUGCAUAAUUAGGUUGUUUAUUUGAGAUAUUUUGAUUUUCUUUUGUAGGCAGUCAUAGCUUUAAAUUUACCUCUUAGAAAUACCUUCAUAAAAUCCCAAAGGUUCUGGUAUGUUGUAUCAUUAUUCUUGUUUGAUUCAAAGAAUUUUAAAAUUUCUUCUCUGAUUUCUUCCAUCAUCCAUUUAUGAUUUAAAAGUGUAUUGUUGGGGCUGGAGUUUGGGACAGUGGUAGAGCACUUGCCUAGCAUGUGUGAGACACUGGGUUUGAUUCUCAGCCCACAUAUAAAUAAACAAAAUAAAGGUCCAUUGACAACUUAAAAAAAAAGUGUUAUUGUUCAAUCUCUAUGUGCUUGUACAGUUUUUGUAGAGUGUCUUUGGUGUUGGUUUCUAAUUUCAUUCUAUUAUGACCUGAUAAGAUGCAAGGAUCAUGUUUUUUGUAUUUGCUAAUAGUUGCUUUGUCUAAAAAAAAUGGUCUGUUUUGAGAAGGUUUCAUUCGAUACUGAGAAGAAAAUGUAUUCACUGUUGUUGGGUGAAAUAUUCUAUAGAUGUCUGUUAAAUUCAUCUGAUUUAUGAUUUUUUUUUCAUAUUCAAAGAGUCUUUACUGAGUUUGUCUUGAUAAUGUAUCUAUUGGUGAGAAAGGUGUGUUGAAAUCAAUUAUUGUACUGAAGUCUUCAUUUCCAGUAGUGUCUGUUUUAUGUAAUUAAGUGCACCAAUAUUUGGGGCAUAAAUAUUUACUAUCAUUGUAUCUUCAUUUUGGAUUGUUCCCUUUACCAGUAUGAAGUGAACUUCUUUGUCUCUUUUGAUUGCUUUUGGCUUGAAUUCUGCUUUGUUGAAUGUGAGAGUAGCCACUCCUGUUUGUUUUCAAACUCUAUUUGCAUAGCUGCCAGUUUCCCUGCUUUCACUUUCAGCCUGUGAUUGUCUUUGCCCAUAAGGAGGCGAGUCUCUUGCAAACAAUACAUAGUUGGGUCUUUUAAAAUUAUUUAUUUAUUUAUUUAUUUUUGAUACUAGGGAUUGAACCCAGGUAUUCUUAACCACUGAGCUACAUCUUUAGCCCUUUUUAUCUUUUAUUUUGAGACAGAGUCGUGCUAAGUUGCUUAGGGCCUUGAUAAAUUGCUGAGGCUGCUCUUGAACUUGCGAUUCUCCUGCCUCAGCCUCCCUGGUCACUGGGAUUACAAGUAUGCACCAUUGUGCGCAGCAAGGGUCUUAUAUUUUAAUCCAUUUGCCAGACUGUGUCUUUUAACUGGAGAGGGGAGACCAUACACAUUCAAUAUUAUUGUAGGGAGAUGUUUAUUAAUUCUUGCCAUUUCGAUUUAGUCCUAGUGUUUAAUUCAGUCCUGUUUCACAUUUCCUUGGCUAUCUUCAAAGGAGAUUUGCUCAUUUGUGAGCUCGGGGGUUUGUUUUUGAUUUCUUCUGUAGGAAGUCUUUCUUUAAGUAUUUUUUUUCUAGUUCUGGCUUAGAAGUUAUGAACUCUUUCAAUGUCUGCUUGUCUUGUAAGGUUGUUUUGUUUUUGUUUUUCUCCUUCAAGGAUAGUUUUGUUGGAAAUAGUAAUUUUGGUUGAUAGUUAUUUUCUUUCAGGACUUGUAAUACAUCAUUCCCAGGCUGCCUGGAUUUUAGAGUUUAUGCUGAGAAAUUAGAAGUAAUUUUCAUCAGCUUGUUUCUAAAUGUCAUCUGAUGUUUUUUAUCUUGAGACUUUUAAAAUUCUAUCCUCAUUCUGUAUGUUAGGUAUUUUAAUCAUAAUGUUUUGUGGAGAGGUUCUUUUUUGAUCUUGUUUAUCUGGGGUUCUGAAUGCAUCCUGUAUCUCGAUAUCCAUCUCAUGCUCAACGUUUGAAAAAUUUUAUGCUGUUAUUUUCCUGAAGAGGUUAUCUAUGCCAUUAGCUUCCCAACCUUUUUUGAUUCUAAUGAUUCUUAAAUUUGGGAUCUUAAUUUUGUCCCAGAAUUCUUGUAUAUUCUGGUUAUGGUUACUCAUUGUCUUUUAUUUAAUAGUAUCUAAAUGUUCAAGGCUGGCCAAUUUGUCUUUGGCUCUGAGAUUUUAUCUUCAGCAUGGCUUACUCUGUUAAAGAGAUUUUAAGGUGAUUUGAUUUACUGUGUCUUUCAUUUCUAAGAUUUAUGUUUGGUUCUUUUUCAAUAUCUCUAACUUUUUAUUGAAUUUCUCAUUCAUAUCCUAUACUGACUUCCUUAAAUCAUUCAUUUGUUUUUCUGUGUUCUCUUGGAAUUAUCAUUUUUAUAAUCAUUCUUUUGAAUUCUUCAUCUGAUAUUUCAUCUGCUUUGAUCUCUUUGGAGAGUUUCUGGUAAAUUAUUAACUUCAGGAGGCAACACAUUAAAGGUAAUGAGAUGGUUAUGAAAUGUGAAAAAAUAAGUUUUUAAAAAAACUUAUUUUAAAAAUUUACUUUAAAAAAUCUUUCUUGUAUUCACAUAUUGUGUUUUAUGCAUCUGUUGGAAUGGAUUUCUUCUUAAUUCUUAUCUUUUGCCUUUUUAGGGCAAAAUCUUUUCUUGCCAGAGUGUUUUGGGAUAUCAGGAUGUUAGGAAUUUGUCUAUAUAUUUCCAUGUGGGUUUUAUAAUAUAGUUUCCAUGCUAGUUCUUUGGUAAUGAUUACUGUAUUUUGAUAGUGUGUAUUUUAUCAUGAUGAGCUUGAGAAUCCCACUUUUCCUAAGUCUCAGAUGAGUGGGAUCCUUCUUAUAGGUCUGGAAAUCGUGUUGCAUACAACAAAUGCAGCAUAUAUGGGGAGCAGUCUCUGUGUUUGAUCUUCCUUACUCAACUCUGUAUAUUCUAAAGUGAUGUAGACUGAGACUUUUCUCAGGUUUAGAGUCCACAGCCUUUUAUUAAUUUUCUAUUUUUGCUGUAGGAGUGGAUGUCCAUGAGUGGGACCUGAGGGGCCCCCUAGCCAUUCCUACUUGGGGCCUAAUUAUUAGUUUGGGAUUUUUUGUCUCUUUUAUUCUUUAUAUUAAGUAUCAUUGAAGUCUGAGUGUGGUUAGUUUGUGUGUAGGGCAAGGUGCUGGGUUUAGUUCAGCAGCAGAAUCUCUAUCCUGUGACUUUUAGUGUCAUAGUUGGUUCCCAGAACCUCACAGAAAAGUGGGAAAAAACAGCAACAAAGAGCAAACAAAAUACAGCCUUAAAAUAAAUAUCCAGUGUUUAUUAUGACAUAUAUAACACUAAUUACCACAAAAACAGGAGUAGGGGGUCAGUAAUUGUCAACAGCAAAGCAGUAAAUAGCUUUAUGGCUGUGAACUGUAUCUGGCAUUAGAGUAAACAGCAGGUGACAACUACACCACCCACAGUACUAAUAACUACAAUAUGAAUGGUGGGGAAAACAGUUAUAUAACCCAAAUAGUUCUAAAAGAUAGUAAAAAUGCAGUUCAUUAAAUAAAAUGAUAGGAAGGAAAUAGGAGGUUUAAAAUGUUCAAAAUGUGAACAGAUAGAAAUCAGAGGUGAACGAGCAAGUGAUGGUUAUAAAGAAGGAGGAGAAAAAAGGAACAAACUACAUAAAGAGAAAAAGAGAAUUUGGCUCUUAGAGGGAAAAGAAAGGAGAGAAAGAGAAACAAACAGAAAUAAAACAAAACCGAAUUAAGUAAACAAAACCCAACCCUCAAAAGACAAGGCAAAUAGCAAAUCAUUAAAAAAAUGAGAAAAAAAUAAAAAUAUAUGUAUAUAUAUCCAUGAACCAAUUAGCAUUGCAAGCGAAAAAAAGAGGAAAAAAGAUUACUAAAGAAAAAUUGUAAGAGUUGUCUCCUUUGGGGUCGAAAAUGUUGAUGAGAGUGGGUGAUCACCAUCUAUGUCUGAUUGUUCUUUCAGUUUCUUCUUGGAUUGUGUACCCUUUAGAGAGAGCAGGGGCUGGAGCUUGUUAACUCCUUCCCCUUCUUCUUUUUGUGUUACUUACUGAUCUGCUAAUUGGAGUAACCUAAAAUUGAAGGAGGUCCAAAUAGUUUCCAUCUUCUCUUUUCACCAAUAUAAGGUAGGAUGGAAUGGGAAGUACUGUCAACUGGAGUUUUGUAUGGAAAGAUCAAUACACUCCUAGGAUGGGGCUGCUACAGAGUUCUAAGUGGGGAGUUCCAGUGGCUCGAUCUUGGGUCUAAUCAGGACUUUGGGACUGAUUAAUACACUCUAGGGUCAGGCAAGUGCUAAUCUCUCAUGGGAGUCUGGAUCUAAGGAGCCUCCUGAGAAUUCUCCUGCAACUGCACAUGAAUAUGGCCUUCCAAGACAUCGCCCCUGUUGUGUAAUUGUCAAUAGCAAUUGCCAAUUACUAUGCUCAAGCUCAGUUUCCUGACCCUCUUCAGCCACCAGACUGAAAGGGAAAGUGAGAUGCACUCCCCUUUGUAUCUCUAACUUUUGCAACCCCUUGGAUACAAUAUUCUUUGUGCCUGUUGCAUUGUGUUCUUCUAGAUACACCCUUGGACACAUGGUAGAUACUUGCCAGGGUAGUAUGGCCAUAUUUGCCAUGAUCUCCUAGGUUCCUGCAGCAGCAAACUGAAGCAUGGCCUCCUUAAGAUGGCUCAGCUCUCUACUUGCUAGUUGAGAAACUGAGUGUUUUUGAAACACCAAUUUAUGGUACAGCCUCUGGAUCAGCUAAGUUCAGGCUGCCUUUCUGUUCUAUAGAUUUUUCCAUGCCAAAUUUGUCUAUUGUGUUUCUUUCUCUCUCUGUGUUAUCAUCCCUCUCCCUUGUGCUGAACUGGCAUCCUGACCAUUGCCACAAUCUGCUUGGCUCCAAUAUAGUCUCCCUUGUUGUUCAUUCAAUGCACCCAAAUUUCAGAGUCUGUAAGAAACUCUGAUUGUCUGAUACUGAAUUUCAGUGAAUUCCAUCUUUCACCCACCUUGCUGAGAAGCAGUACCCCUGCCCCUUGAAUUCUGAGGGUGACUGGAAAUGUAGCCUUCCUCUAAUCUGCUAUAUUGAAAACUGGAUCUGAGCAUUCCUCAGCUAGAAAGCAGAGACAGUAUCUUGAUAAACUGCCUAGGCUGUCCUUGAACUUGCAACUCUCUUGCCUCGACCUCUCAUGUAGCUGGGAUUAUAGGCAUACACUACCACACCUGGCUCAAAUGAGACAUUUUUUUGUGCAUUCUGAUUGAAUAGAGAAAGGGAAGAGUCAAGAAGUACUUAUUGAUUCCCUGUUUGCAUAGAAACAACAUGCAUAUAUUUGUCCAGCUUGUCCAUUUUGGACACUGAAAUUCUAAGAAAUAAAAAGAGCGUUAUAGAUGUAGAGAGACUAGAUGAAUCUGAGAGAACAUGCCCAUAAUGUUGGGUAUAAUUUAUUCAUUUUCAUAAGUGUUCCCUAAAUAGAGAUCUGAGAAGAAAAAAAAUAAUAUAAUUUUCUGGAAACACUGACCUCUAGGACCUGGAGAAAGUCCAUUCAGCCAGCCCAAGCCCUCCCUAUUCCCCUGGGCUGUAGCCUCAGAUUCCUCAGAGACAACAUCUGCAAGCAUAGUGCAAAUCAUUAGCCAGUCUGCCACUUCCCACUGUUCAGCCACCUUAUGAAUGCUAUUUUUAGGAUGUCUGAAUUUCUCAGCAGAGACACAGCACUAUUAACAAGUCCUGAGAAGUCAGCCUUGUUUCCCCAAUGUCUGAGGCAGCACUCAGAGAUAAGCACUCCACCUUCAUUCUGCUCUGCUGAAAUUAAAAUGCUUCUCUUUCUGCAUCUUGAUGGGAGGAUGAGGAAGAAAUGUUGUUCACUUCUUCAGAGACUUUAGAAAUGGAACUAAAAGAUGGAGAUGUUAUUCACUCACCCCCACCCUCCAUCACAAGAACUGAACCAUGAUUUCCGGGCAAUGCUUCUCCCACCAAUUCACAUCAUCUAGUGGAAACUCAUCUGAAGCCAUGGUUUAAUGAUAAGGAGCAAAAAAGUCAGUCAAACGAUUCAUCACCUUUACAAAGAUCAUGAUCUCAGAGCUGGAGGAAGUGACUUUGAGUCCUUUUUUCCUACUCACUAUGUCUUUGUGUUCAUAAAAUGGAUAAUAAUAAUGGCUUCUAUGCUGGGUUUUCACAAGAGAUGUGUGAUUUGCAAAGUGCCUGCUCAAUGCUAGUAAAUCUACAACUGCUAUAACUUCUGUUUUCCGAGGCAAGUUCCUCCUGUUUAAUGAAUGCUUAUGUUCUAGGGCCACUUCCUCUCAUCUCCUUAGAUAAUCUUCUAUCUCUUUGUCUAAAGUCUUUCUCUCUGUUUGUUCCAUUACUGAGUACAAGUAUUUGGUUACAUCUCUCUUGCCUCAGUCCUCUCUCUUGAUGUCACAUCUCUCCGUGGCUCUGCUGUUUCCCAACCCCACCUUUGGGAUCCACCUUUCUGCAGAGCACCAGUGUGUCAACAUUGUACUCUGGGUCACAUGGAGCUUGGUGGUAAAGACUGUCUCUGGUGGCAGGGCCUGUAGUUUCCUGGGCAUUACCAGUGCCUAGGGUUGGUAGGUAAUUCUGCUGAAUUUUUUUUUUUGGAGGGGGGGGACACUUGUGGCCACAGUCUUAGCUACAUUCUCUAGUAGUUUUCUCUCAGGGAUAUUUUCAUGUCCAUCAGCCUGACUCCUUUGUCUUUCUUAGUCUCUUUUAUUUGAUUUAGAACUGAACUAGCAAGGAGAAGGCAGUAAUUUAUUAGCCUCCAACAAUGGAAAAAUGCCAAGAUUUAAAAGACAGGUGGGAAAGAGCAGUCUGCAAUCUGACCUGAGUUCAUGGAUUUAUUGUAAUCCUGACCAGGAGACCUGUGAGGGCUUCUGCCUACAUUCCCCCUCCCCUUUCCAUACUCCCACUGAACUGCUAUGAAGUCUCAGAAAUCCCACUGGACAUGGUGGCUCAGGACCCUGAUAUCAAUCAUUUGGAGUUGAUAUAUAAUAUAAACCUAUUUGAAAUACUGGAUCUAGUAUUCUGAUGCCUCCUAAAUCUGUAACAGCAGCACACAUCUGUGUACUCACCCCUACUGUGAGGCUUCUUCACUGAGCUCAGUAGAUAGAGAGCAUUGUGUAGAAAACCCUUCAUGGUUGGCCCCUGACUACCUGUCAUCUCUGUGCCUUUCCUCAGUGUCCUUUCUGUUCCAGCCACACUGAGCUCUUUGUGGGUCCCUAAGCAAGCCAUGCACUGUUAGGCUUUUGUUAGUGGUACACACUUUGCCUGGAAGGAAAGUUCCUUUCUUGCCCUGGCUGGACUGGCUAGUUCUGUUUAUCCUUCAAAUCACAGCAACCCUGCCCUGAGAUGCUUCUCCUGGUACAUUAGAGCCUUGUUUAUCAGUGUUUCUUCCAGACUUGAGUUCCUUGGGGACAAGGGGAAUGCCUUGAUCUCCCCUGGAAACCCUCUGUGCCAAAGAAACCAAAUACAGGUAAGUUGACUUUCCUUAUUCAGUCCAUUUUCAGGUACAAUGGUAGGCAUUCCUAUUCUUGUUUUCUCUGCUUAAAACUCAUCUAAAAAAUUCUAAUUUUUCUAGAAGAGCCUUAUAAAAAUUUGACCUAACAAAAAUCUUGCACAAUGAACAACAGCAUGAGAAAUCAGGCUAGAUUAGGUUCUUGAAGGGUAUGAGAUUUCCCUGUGUUUCCAAUGUCAAUUCUGGGUCCUCAGUGAGGAGAAUGAUGGGCUAGUUUCUAGUCACUCCAACUCUCAGCAGCCUGUAAUGUCAUGGGAGCUACAUUUUAUGUAAACAAAUUAGUCUGGAACUUUUUUUCAAGACAACAUAUAAAACACAUUAUAUGCACAGUGGUGCUAGGGUAUGUUUCUGGGUGUAGAUACUAGAUUUGUCUGGACUUUGCUUGAGACCUUAACCUCCUUAUUCUUGUUCUUUACUGUUAGGAUUGGACAUCUUGUAACAUGUCAGCUUCAUCUUUAUCUCUCCCUCCCAAGUUUUUUUUUUCAAUUAAUUAAUUUAUUUUAAUUAAGUAUAUAUGACAGCAGAAUGCAUUUUGAUUCAGUGUACACCUCCCCAAUUUCUUUGUUUUCCUCCAAUGUUGUUUGAAAACAUACAAUCUUACAUUUUCUCAGUUGUACAUGUGAGAAAUUGUGUGUGUGUGUGUGUGUGUGUAUGUGUAUGUGUAUUAAGGUGCUGAAGGAUAGUAACAGGGAGAAAGAAAAAUACUGCUUUUUCUAAAACUUAAGUGGAAAAUAAAGCAUUAAAAAUUUAGGAUGCUUUUAGCUUUGCACUAUAUCUGGCACAGCAAAUUCUUAAUAAAAUUUAGCCAUAAUUGUUAUUAUAAUGAUUAAUAUUCUUAUUAGCAGUGAUAGGAUCCAAUGCUUAAAAGCGUGUUGUAUUUAUACCACUGCCAAAGAAAGUGAGGGAAGUAUAAUCUCCUGGCUCUACAUUCCUCAUAGGAUGUAAAGAUUGUAUAUAUCCGUUGGAGUUCACCCAAGCUACUUUUGGGACAAACAGGAUAAUGUGUUUGGAACAGAGAUCAACAGCUGUUACUCCUCUGUGACAUUCCGGAGAUGUGGACAGAUGUAUUCAGAUUGACCUUCCUUAGUCAGUGAGUGUGGGAACUGGUGGAAAGGGGUAGGGGGAGGGAGACACAGCAACAGGGAGGAUGAGAAGGUUCCCAUGGGGGUCAGUAACAUGAGAGACCAUUGAAAGCAACAUUGAACUAUUUCUAUUUCCUGGAGGUGCUGUGCUAAACAACAUGUUAGGGGAUGAAGGCCCUUAACAUUAUUCCAAAAGGAGGAAAACCAAACAUGGUCAUUUUCCCAAGGCUAGGACAGAUCUGCAAUCCCUGAAGGGGUCAGAGGUUGCCUCCUACCAUUUCAGUGAUUGCACAGUCGGAAAUAGAAGAGGGUCAAAUCAGGUUCAAUAUAAGAUGUAGAGUGAAAUACAUUCCUUACCUUGCCCUCCCAACCCCAGUCAUAUUUAAUUACCAUUCCUGUUUCUAGAAAAUAUCCAAGCACCCUAGUGGUUUCAGAAAAUUAAAAAACCAGCCAGACACAGAGCCCUUGGUAACUCUGUGUCAUACUAGCAUCAAGGCAGGUGGCUGGUCUUCAUUGAGACUAAAAGAAUAGAGUUCAGUGAAACCAUUAGAUUUUCAUAAAAAUAGGAUUUUGAGAACAGUAGGUUUUCCUAACAGCAAUCUCUGUAGGUCCUAAGACUUUUAAGUUUACCCAUCAUAACAGCUUAGCUGGAGUCUGAUUUGUAGUACUCUUUCUCCAUCUGUAACGAUGGCUGUCUCCUUCUGCUUUCUUUCAGGUUAUCAAGUGAAUGAAUCCUUCUUCAUGGAACCAUCCUAGAGCUCAGACCAACAUUUCCUGGGUUCCCAGAGUGUCCCUCUUGCUGACAGGACACUAAUUCCUAGUCUGGCCAGGAUUAAUUAUUUCAAGAUAAUAUAAAAACUAUGCAAGUUUUGCUUCUUCUCUACUGGGUCCAUAGGGUAGUAAUGAGAACCACAUUUUCCCAUGUAAAGGAAGAUUUCACAAGCACAUAUAGAAUUCUAGCGGUAUCUUUAUGAAGUUGGUGGCUGAAGGUCAGAUGUGCCCAGAAAAAAGAUUUGUUCUCUUUAGAAACCUUGCUCUUAACUACUGCACUAUGAUUGCAUAUUAAGCUUUUGUUUGAUAAGGACUGUGUGUACCUCUCCCAUGACUCUUGAAAUUAGAUUUCAAUUUUUCAAGUCAGUUGGGCUUAGAUCUGUAUUUUGCUACUACCAUGAGCCUCCAGUGCAACAGUAUUGGGAUAUGGGGCUUAAUGGGAGGUUCCAUCUGCAUGAAUGGUUUAUAAAAGGGCUGAUUAUAAAAGGCCCAUGAUUUCAGUCUUUCUCUCUUUUGUCCUCUCUUUGUCCUGUCUUUGAUACAGCAAGAAGGUCCUUGCUAGGUGUUAACCCCUUCAUAUUGAACUUCCCAGGCUCCAGAACCAUAAAGUGAUAAAUGUUUACAUUACCCAGUCUGUGGUAUUCUAUUGUAACCUCACAACACAGACUAAGAGAACUGCUUAGUGUGUGCCAUUGUGGGCAAGUUGCUUAACCUGGUUUAGCUUUUGUUUCCUUAUCUAUAAAAUGGAGAUAAUUACAGUCUGAAGCUCGUAGGGGUGUAGUGAGGAUUAAAUGAGAUAAAAUCUGCAUGACAUUUAGCACACUAUCUGGCAGCUCCAAGCUUCUAAUAAACUUUAGCUACUGCUUUAUAACUUGGAGUGAUAGAGCUCCUUCUCUAAGUGGUCCAAAGGUCUGUAGGUGAUUAUUUUAAGCUACUUUUCACAAUAUUUUUCAUGUAAUCCUUGAUGAAAUAUUAUAGAUUGUUCCUGCAAAUACAUCUGUUUUGUAAUACUUAUUUACUCAGUGGAAUUAGUUCAUUAGUAUCAAAGGUUUUUUUUCCCUUUAUUUCUUUUAAAGUUCAGCAUAAUUUUCUUUUAAAGGCUUUGGUUCUGCUAGUUUGAGACAAUAUGCAUAACUUUCUUAACUUCAUUUUUGUCUAUUUUUUGAAUAAGUUUUAAAAAAAUACUAACAGCUGGAAUAAUACUACAAAACCCAAAGAGAGACUCUCAGGCUUUAUGACUUUCCCACAAUUGCUAUGUGAGCACUAGAAUCUCUGUAAGGCAGAGCUGUGGGGAAAAUUAGAAAUGAAAAUGAAAAGCAAGCUUCUAGCUGGGAUUUAGGUCAAAGCAGAUAUUAUCCUGGCCGGCUUGCUCUAUGUGAAUAGCUAGGGCUUCUUGCUCACAACUUAAAGCUUGACAACUGUAAUUUUUGAAGGCUCUUGGGUGAUAGUUUUACUGGUAGUGUAUUACUGAAGAACUAUGCAUCCAAAGGAACACUAUGGUAAUUUCUAAGCCAGGGUUUUCAUGAUUCUCAUACUGUAAAGUAAAAUAAACCCCAUAAAUAUGUAGUACAUAUAUUCAAUGAUCUUUUCUGAUUGAUCCAACAAACAUUUAUUCAGCUCCUAAAAGAAGUAUGAAAUGGAGAUUCAUUAAAUCUCAAGGGUGGGGGAGAUUGUCACUAUGUGAAGUGUGAACAAUAUAUUGAGUGAGAUGUUUCCACCUGUAUUUGACAUAAGAGGAACUGAAGCUAUGGCUUUCUGAGAGCAUAUAGCUUAGAAAGUGGCCCUACUAGGAGUUAGACCCGAAAGUUGUGCGACUUCAACUCCUGUGCUUUUUAGCCACUGGAAGUCAAAGUCAGUUAUCUCUCUUCUUCUGCAGUCAGAGUGAUAAGUUGAAUCUGGGUAUGUAUUCUGUGUAGGAAGCAUCCCUAUCUCUCAAGGACCAUUUGGGACUCACAGGGGGCCUAGGAGAGAGGAGAGACAAAUGCUGAGUGGCUAGGAGUGACUCUGGGCUUGACUGUAAGAGAAAUGAGUUGUGAAGGAAGUGGGUCUUUGAGUCUCCUACACGGUUGAGCACAACUCAGCUAGGGAGCAGACAGGAAUACAGGCUGAAGUCCUAGCUGGUGACAAGGUGAAUUUUAUGCUGGGUUAUUAUGCUAGUAUCUUAUCCUUAGAAAGCUAACCAGGGAAAGAUUAUCCUGUUAAGAGUAACAAAGAGAGAAAUCCACAAUUGCAGCCAUGGGUAAAGAGAGCCAUGGUGGAGUGUUUCAUUCCUUCAGAAAAUGUCUUACACCUGGACACAGGAAUACAGCUGUGAAUGGGAGAGCCAUGGAUUUCAUACUUUUGUCUAAGGUCUUAGGGGGACACAGACAUCUAAUAAAUAACAGGAUGAUAUGACAUUCUUCCACUUUAUGAAAUAGGUGUGAUAAAAAUUAGAACAGGAGAACAUGGUUUAGAGUGGUUGGAAGGAGGGACAGUGUGUGUGUGUGCGUGUGUGUGUGGGGGGUCAUGGUGGCUGUAGAAUGCAUUCCUGAGGAGGUCCUAUUUACUCUGACCCAGGAAGGAUGAGUGUUAUUUAGUCAGACAGAUUGGUGAGAAGCAUCCUAGCCAGAGAGAAAGUGGUAAAAGCUCUGAAAUUCAUUUUUACCCCUCAGUGUCCACACCCAGACUUAGUUCCCAUUAGGUACAUAAGAGCAUAUGGAAUUAAGUCUCCUGUAUUGUAUUUUCUCCAACAAGCCAUGUGGUUGGGACUUCAGUACACUUGUUGUUGAUGGCUUAAGGUGGCUUGUUUCAUCAUGACACAUAUGUCCUUGAGUUUCAAGAAUAAGUGUGGACUUAGUGAAUCUGGAAUCAGUCCAGAAAAAUACAGUUUCAGAGUUUAACUAUGCCUUCCCUGUGUCAUUUGGGCCAUUCUCUCUUUACCUAAGUGUCUCAGAAGACACUGUGUUAGAUGUUUUAUAAACUAAUGCUGCCUGUGGUUUGCCUUACCUUUUUGUCCAGAAGAAAUCUUUAAUACUGGACCAGGGCUGACUGUCAAGAGGCAUUAUCGUGCUUCACUUAUAGCAUACCAAUUCCAGUUAGAAAUUUCUACGUUCUAAUAUUGGCUCCACUGCUUCCUGAGAUACUUUAACCCUCAUUAUGGGUCAGUCUUCCCUUCCUUGAUGUGGGGAUAAUAAUAGUUUCUUUCUCACAGGUUGUGUGAAUAUUAAAUGAUAUCAGGAAUGUGAAGUGGUACAUCAAUGUUAUUAUUUUGGUGCAUAAAUUGGUACAUAAAGUAUUAUAACUGUUAUAACUGUAGUAGGGUUUCCCUAUGUAUUGAUGGGUUUAAGGUUCCUAUUUCAUCUCUGUCAUUUCUACC
rnacentral:lncRNA from 1 species